GGAAAUGUAUUUAUAAAUUAUGUAUAUUUGGCUUUUUUUCAAUUCGCCGUUUUUUGUUAUGAUUUUUGCGUUUGUUUUUGUUUGUGAUAUUUUUUUUGGCAUUCGCAAUUUAUUAAUGGAUUUUUUGAUGUUUACUUUUCACUUUCUAAUCUAAAGCUUAUUUAUACACUUAAGAAGUAGUUAAAUAAAAAAAAUAUUUUUUUGAAAAUAUGACAUAACUGCUUUAUAUAGCAUAAAACUCUUGCUUUUAUUCCUUCCAUCAUUUUUGUUUUUCAAAAUAGAAUAAAAUUUUCAUUCUGAGAAUGAUAUUGAAAGUGAAACUCUUUAGAUUUCAAGCUGUUAAAAAUAUUUUAUUUUAAUUUUUAAAGGUAUUUUAUUUGGAUUCUUCCACAAAAUUGCAAGCUGAUUGUGUGUCAUUAGUUGUUUUCAAAACAGUGCUUUCAAAAUUGUUUUUAUUUACCAUGCUUUUUGUUGAUCUGAUUGGGAACGCUUUCUGGCCAAGUCAAGUUAUUUUUCCAAAUUUAAAUUUACUUGCAACAAUUGGUUAAUCUUACGAUCCUUUCUAACAUCUCUUUUUUUUUUUCUUUUUGGACAUUAUAUUUUGGUAAAAUCCCUUAAUUUUUUCUUUUAUAUUCAUUACAUCUUAUCUAUUUUGAAAUUCAAGGUGCUUAAUUCUCUUUUUGUAUUUGUUUAUUGGAUGGGUCAAAUCGCCAGAUAAUAAAGGUAGUUGUUGAUCGAAAUUGGAAACUGGGAAAUUCUCUUUAUUUACUUGAGUUUCAAGAAAACAAUCAUCAGAAUGACUUUUUAAAGGCUUGUCUAUAGUAGAACUUUGAGUAACAGAGCUUGAAAAAUCAUCAUAAGUAGUUUUCAAGUUUAAAUCAGAAAAAAAACUUAAAGUAGCAGAAAUAUCUUCUGGAACAAAUUCACUAGAAUUUGUUUCAGAAUAUGUUUGGCUAGAAGUCAGGAUAGAACAAUUAACAGAAGAUUGCAAAUCAUCAACUUUGUUAAAUCAAGCGAGAUUAUUUUUUAUUUUAAGUAUCUGUAUUUUCAACAAGGCUUGAAGCAACCAUUUUUAGAGUUACUGGAAGACCCAAUAUGAAGUAAAGUAACAUUCCAGUAACUUUCAAAAAACCAUUUUUAGGAAGUUACUGGAAGACCCAAGAUAAAGAUUAUAACGCAAGAUAACGAUUAACAGAUGGCUUAAAAGAUUUAUAUGAAUCUUUUAAGCCAUCUGUUAAUCAAAUGAUAUGAAUCAGGAAAACAAGAUGAAUGGUUAGUAUCACAAAAAACUGAUGAUCAAGGAAAAAAAACUAUACCAAUAAGAAUUUUUGGAGCACUUAAAAACAAUAAAAUACUAUAUUAUUGUAUACAAAUACUAACUUAGCAAUGAUUUGUAUAUAAGGUUUCCAUAAGAGGUCAGUACAAAAAGAUAGUUAGAGACGAUUUAAAGUAGAAGACACAGUAACAAUGUUGCCAUUCAUGAAUAUAGGAGUAUUAACAAGAUUGCAAAUACUUUUUUAAAACUUCGCCAGAUACACCAUAUCAUCUAGAGCAAUAGAAUGUGCAUCACCGCUUCUAUCUAAUGUUAAUUUCGAACCUUUCUGUAACAACAGGUAACAGGUCCAAAAACAGAUGAUUAGAAUCCAUAUGUUUCUUAUAUCAUCAACAAAUAGAGCCAACUUUGCGUUUUUCAGGAUGAUCAUUAAUGUUGGUUAGAAAUGGUAAAUGGCUGAGGAUAGAAGUUCACCUUGUUAGUUAAGUAUUGACGCUAGCAUGAAUUUGCAGCGUUAAGUGCCACAGGUAAUGUGUGUUUUGUGAUUGUGAUGUUAUUGUUGUGAUGUUUUGUGUUAAUAGACAACUUGGCUUACCUUCUCGCUGGUGUCUAUCGUUAAAAAUGAUUAUUAGGUUGUUUUGUUACUCAAACUCUCUACCUCUAAUCAUUCACUAAAAGCCAAGAGAUAAUUUUUAGAAUAACACCAUUUUUUGUUUUAAUGUUGUUUUCACUUUUUUAUCUUAGUUGUUGUCAAUAGUUCACAUAAACAAUCUCAAAGAGUUGAUUUCUGCUUUUACACCUGCUAAUGCUGUCGUGAGUACUCAAAAUUUUAGGAAGUUCUAUUGCUAUUAACUGAAAAUAAAAAAAAUAGAAGCCAUAUAUGCACAUGUCGAUAAGGCUAUCUACAGGUAUAGGAGACCUAUGGAAGAUCAAAAAAGUGAAGCCUUACGAGGCUUUAUUCGUAGAUAGCAAUUCGUUUUUUAAUUUAAAAAAUAUCGAUGUUGUAGAUGAGAAGGAGGAUUACGAUAAUGAUGAUGAGAUGGAUGCUGAGGAAUAUGAUGAUAAUGAUAAAAAUGAUGAUGAUGAUGUCGAUGAACAU
rnacentral:lncRNA from 1 species